rnacentral:rRNA from 1 species
GAUGAACGCUGGCGGCGUGCCUAAUACAUGCAAGUCGAGCGAACAGACGAGGAGCUUGCUCCUCUGACGUUAGCGGCGGACGGGUGAGUAACACGUGGAUAACCUACCUAUAAGACUGGGAUAACUUCGGGAAACCGGAGCUAAUACCGGAUAACAUGUUGAACCGCAUGGUUCAACAGUGAAAGACGGUUUUGCUGUCACUUAUAGAUGGAUCCGCGUCGCAUUAGCUAGUUGGUAAGGUAACGGCUUACCAAGGCAACGAUGCGUAGCCGACCUGAGAGGGUGAUCGGCCACACUGGAACUGAGACACGGCCCAGACUCCUACGGGAGGCAGCAGUAGGGAAUCUUCCGCAAUGGGCGAAAGCCUGACGGAGCAACGCCGCGUGAGUGAAGAAGGUCUUCGGAUCGUAAAACUCUGUUAUUAGGGAAGAACAAAUGUGUAAGUAACUAUGCACGUCUUGACGGUACCUAAUCAGAAAGCCACGGCUAACUACGUG